GCUGGGCAUGGUGCCGCGUGCCUGUAGUUCCAGCUACUCAGGAGGCUGAGGCAGGAGAAUUGCCUGAACCCAGGAGGCGGAGGUUGUGGUGAGCCGAGAUUGCGCCAUUGCACUCCAGCCUGGGUAAUCUCAGCUCACUGUAAUCUUCGCCUCCUGGGUCCAAGGUAUUCUCCUGCCUCAG
rnacentral:sRNA from 1 species